GACGAACGCUGGCGGCGUGCUUAACACAUGCAAGUCGAACGGAAAGGCCCUUCGGGGUACUCGAGUGGCGAACGGGUGAGUAACACGUGGGUGAUCUGCCCUGCACUUUGGGAUAAGCCUGGGAAACUGGGUCUAAUACCGAAUAGGACCACGCGCUUCAUGGUGUGUGGUGGCAAGCUUUUGCGGUGUGGGAUGGGCCCGCGGCCUAUCAGCUUGUUGGUGGGGUAAUGGCCUACCAAGGCGACGACGGGUAGCCGGCCUGAGAGGGUGACCGGCCACACUGGGACUGAGAUACGGCCCAGACUCCUACGGGAGGCAGCAGUGGGGAAUAUUGCACAAUGGGCGCAAGCCUGAUGCAGCGACGCCGCGUGGGGGAUGACGGCCUUCGGGUUGUAAACCUCUUUCAAUAGGGACGAAGCGCAAGUGACGGUACCUAUAGAAGAAGCACCGGCCAACUACGUG
rnacentral:rRNA from 1 species